ensembl:lncRNA
UUAAAUAACACGCUGACAUCUACAUGAACAACUCACGCAUUUAAUGAACCUUACACAGUCAACGAUGAGCCACUGACAUGAAUACCCUGCCCUUGACUGAGCCAGGAUGCGAUCUCACGACUGCAUGUGAAAGCGCUCACUGGCACGGUGCCCGUCAGAUCGAGACGUCAGAGCCGCACACACUCACGCUGGCACGGGUCCCAUCGCUGCGUCCGCCCAUGCGAGGCCACCGGGCUGUGACGUUACAGAGGGAUAAUUUUGGGAUGACGCAUGCCGGUUCUCUGCGUGGAAUCAUUUUGGCUGCAUGGAAGUCAAUGGCUACCGUCAGCUGUUUGGUUACCAACAUUCAAAAAUAUGUG